rnacentral:rRNA from 1 species
CCUACGGGUGGCAGCAGUGGGGAAUAUUGCGCAAUGGGCGAAAGCCUGACGCAGCGACGCCGCGUGAGGGAUGAAGGUCUUCGGAUCGUAAACCUCUGUCAGCAGGGAAGAACGGUCACUGUGCUAAUCAGCAGUGAAUUGACGGUACCUGCAAAGGAAGCACCGGCUAACUCCGUGCCCGAAGCCGCGGUAAUACGGAGGGUGGUGGCGUUAAUCGGAAUUACUGGGCGUAAAGCUUGCGGAGGCGGUAUGACAAGUCAAGGGUGAAAUCCCCGGGCUCAACGUGGGAACUGCCUUUGAAACUGGCAAACUGGAGUGUGUGAGAGGAUGGUGGAAUUCCAGGUGUAGGAGUGAAAUCCGUAGAUAUCUGGAGGAACAUCAGUGGCGAAGGCGACUAUCUGGCACAUAACUGACGCUGAGGAGCGAAAGCGUGGGUAGCAAACAGGAUUAGAUACCCUGGUAGUC